rnacentral:ncRNA from 1 species
GAAAUAACUUAGGGGUGCUGCGAGUCGAGUGGCCGUGGCUGAGAAAAUACCCUUUGAACUUGUGCCAGUAAUUUGGCCAAAGGAAAAGUGAGGUCUUUAGUG